GAGUUUGAUCCUGGCUCAGAUUGAACGCUGGCGGCAGGCCUAACACAUGCAAGUCGAGCGGAAACGAGUUAACUGAACCUUCGGGGAACGUUAACGGCGUCGAGCGGCGGACGGGUGAGUAAUGCCUGGGAAAUUGCCCUGAUGUGGGGGAUAACCAUUGGAAACGAUGGCUAAUACCGCAUAAUAGCUUCGGCUCAAAGAGGGGGACCUUCGGGCCUCUCGCGUCAGGAUAUGCCCAGGUGGGAUUAGCUAGUUGGUGAGGUAAUGGCUCACCAAGGCGACGAUCCCUAGCUGGUCUGAGAGGAUGAUCAGCCACACUGGAACUGAGACACGGUCCAGACUCCUACGGGAGGCAGCAGUGGGGAAUAUUGCACAAUGGGCGCAAGCCUGAUGCAGCCAUGCCGCGUGUAUGAAGAAGGCCUUCGGGUUGUAAAGUACUUUCAGCAGUGAGGAAGGUGGGUAUGUUAAUAGCAUACUCAUUUGACGUUAGCUGCAGAAGAAGCACCGGCUAACUCCGUGCCAGCAGCCGCGGUAAUACGGAGGGUGCGAGCGUUAAUCGGAAUUACUGGGCGUAAAGCGCAUGCAGGUGGUUUGUUAAGUCAGAUGUGAAAGCCCGGGGCUCAACCUCGGAAUUGCAUUUGAAACUGGCAAACUAGAGUACUGUAGAGGGGGGUAGAAUUUCAGGUGUAGCGGUGAAAUGCGUAGAGAUCUGAAGGAUACCG
rnacentral:rRNA from 1 species